CUAUUUCCACCUGAUUGUACCACGUGACAUUACGACAGAAGGCCAAAAUUGGAACAUAAGGAAAAUGGCUUCCGUGAAUAUAGCAAAGCAUGUCAAUCUCGAGGAUAUUAAUAAAGAUGGAAAGGGUGUAAAGCAUCUGCAGCAACAUGAAAAAGAUCUCCAUAGCGACCUACAAGCCGUAGAUCCAGAAAGUCUUAUCAAACAUCCCUUACAGAGGAGAUGGUCUAUGUGGUUCUUCAAGAAUGACAAAGCCAAAUCAUGGACAGAAAACCUUAGAAUUGUCACAGCCUUUGAUACAGUAGAAGAUUUCUGGUCACUUUAUAAUUACAUUCAAGUUGCAAGUGGAUUAGCGUCAGGAUGCGACUACUCAUUAUUUAAGGAUGGUGUGAAACCAAUGUGGGAAGACGACAAGAACAAAGAUGGUGGCAGGUGGCUGAUAGGUUUCGAUCGCAAAUCAAAAUCACAAGACAUAGACAGAUGCUGGUUAGAAACGAUGUUGCUAAUGAUAGGAGAGAGCUUCGAUGAUGACUCAGAUUUAGUCAACGGUGCAGUUGUCAACAUUAGAAGUAAAGGAAAUAAGAUCGCAAUGUGGACAGGGGACUGGCGGAAAGAAGACUCAAUAACCAAUAUAGGACGAAAAUUCAAAGAUAGGUUAGGUCUCCCACACAAAUACACAAUAGGUUUUGAGGCACAUAAAGACACAAUGACGAAGACCGGGUCUAUGGCAAAGAGUCUCUACACUGUAUGAUACACGCCCUUUCCACCCUCCUUCGCCAUUUACCAAGUGUCCGUCUCUCCGUACCCCGUCGAGAUCCGUCGCCGUUUUCAUCGCUGCCUCGUGUACCACACUCCCAACGACUACAAGCAUCACCCCCUCUAUAUCAUGGGACAACCCCCUGCUUGUGUAAAUGCCUCUGCAUGCGGCAUGAUGUACACACAGAAAUAAGAUUAUUGAGACUUAUGACCUGUUUCUGCAGAUGAGGUUGCAAGUAACUCCAGCUAUUUUCUCUAUAGUGUCACAGCUUUAUACAGGCAAAAGAAAGUUUAUCUUUUUCACCAACUGUGGCAGAGCUUUUCUAACAUAAUCCAAUUUGUUUGGGUUUUAUUCUCUUAUGAUUGAUAUAAGCUGUAACUUUUAAAGUCCAAUAGAUUUGUGAUUUUGCAGCAAUGUUGCAUAACCAAUACAUCCUUUUGAGUUUCUUUUUUUCUUGUGUUUGACUAUAGAUAUCAGCAUUUUCAUGUUCUGCGUGCAUUGAAUGUUUAAGGCCUGUGAGUUGAAUUUUGCGAAACACUCUUUUUGCCUUAGUGGUUUUAUUGAUUGUGUUAUUUGUAUGAAUGACAUGCUGCUUCAAUAUUAUUUCCACUUAUUUCCAUUUCCAAUAUUAAGAUUGAACAAUCUGCGUCCUAAAUCAAGUGUUCGCCAAAAAUAUUUCUCAUCGUAUGAGUAUUAUGUGCUGGUAAAUAUAUAGGGAAAUCAUUGUAAAUAUCACCACAAAAUGAAGAGUUUGUUUAUAAAUUCUCUUUGCCAAACACUUUGAUUUGAUUUUCAACUUGUAUUAUUGUGAUGCAAUCUAGGUGAGGGUUAACCCAUCAUUUCAUAUACAGAUAAUCUAUAUUUGUCUUCUUUAGGCCCUCAUUGUUCUUCAGAUGGUCCUGUUAAAGUGUAAACACACCUCAAUGUAUGAAAACACAGAACUUCACAUUUGGUCUUGCAUUCAUAACUACGUUGUUUAUUCUGCCAAAUGGCCAAUUCAUGCUCCCUAAUUGAAAUUUAAUGCGUACCUAAAUAACUAUGCUCUCACUCUGAAUAUUUUUCAGUGGUCUACCUUUUUUUUCAACCAAUAUGUAUCGAGAUAAAAUUUCAACCUGGACCCUGUCUUACAAAGAGUUGCAGGUGAUCCAAUCAACCACAACUAUGGAAAGCCAGCAACAUCAGCAUCGAAAAUACAAGUUUGUUCAAAAUGUUUUCUUGAUAUGAUGUACCGUAAGGGCACUGGUAUUCAACCUGUUUGGAAAGUUUCCUCAAAUAUAUAGAAAUAUGGAAUUUACCUUAAUUUCAGACCUGUCGGCGAUGGUUUUUGGCACUAGUAUUCAACCUAGCGAUGAAAGAUGGCCCUGUCUCUUAAUCUGCCCUUGUCUCAUACGACUAUGGACUAGACCAUUUUAGAUGAGACCAAACGGAAUUGGUCAAAGCCAGAGACUUACAUAGAUCUUGAUCUAGUUUAGCAAUCUAAACCCUUUCGAGAUUUGCUUUCUCUCAUCACUAGGUUGAAUACUAGUGCAAUUCAGUGCAAAAGGCCAUCGCCGCAUGAUUCGAUUCUCCGCGCACAGUUGAGAUUAAUAAAGAAAAUACCGACAACAGGUUACCCUGGAAAUAACAAAGGUAUGAAAUUAGGAUGAAUUCCCUAUUUCUAAAUAUUUGAGGGAAUUUCUCCAAAUCUUUGAAUUAUGCCGGGUUGAAUACGAGUGCCCAUACGGUAUGUGAUGUAUAUUAAUACCUUUAUAAAGUUUCUUGAUAUUUUAGUAUGUUCCUCUUUGGACAUUGUGCAAAUACC
rnacentral:misc_RNA from 1 species